rnacentral:hammerhead_ribozyme from 1 species
GCACUGCUGAGGAGUCCCAUAAUAGGAUGAGACGGCCGUCCAGUGU